GAUGAACGCUGGCGGCGUGCCUAAUACAUGCAAGUCGAGCGAACAGAUAAGGAGCUUGCUCCUUUGACGUUAGCGGCGGACGGGUGAGUAACACGUGGGUAACCUACCUAUAAGACUGGAAUAACUCCGCGAAACCGGGGCUAAUGCAGGAUAACAUGUUGAACCGCAUGGUUCUACAGUGAAAGGCGGCUUUGCUGUCACUUAUAGAUGGACCCGCGCCGUAUUAGCUAGUUGGUGAGGUAACGGCUCACCAAGGCAACGAUACGUAGCCGACCUGAGAGGGUGAUCGGCCACACUGGAACUGAGACACGGUCCAGACUCCUACGGGAGGCAGCAGUAGGGAAUCUUCCGCAAUGGGCGAAAGCCUGACGGAGCAACGCCGCGUGAGUGAUGAAGGUCUUCGGAUCGUAAAACUCUGUUAUUAGGGAAGAACAAAUGCGUAAGUAACUGUGCGCGUCUUGACGGUACCUAAUCAGAAAGCCACGGCUAACUACGUG
rnacentral:rRNA from 1 species